rnacentral:antisense_RNA from 1 species
CUUUAGCUUGUAAGAGAUUUCUUUUUCUUAAUAAUCUCUUUUCAGUUACAAGUCUUUG